rnacentral:rRNA from 1 species
GACAGAGGGGGCAAGCGUUGCUCGGAAUCACUGGGCGUAAAGGGCGCGUAGGCGGGAUGGCAAGUCAGUCGUGAAAUCUCUCGGCUCAACUGAGAAACGUCGGCUGAUACUGCCGUUCUUGAGGGAUGCAGAGGAGACUGGAAUUCCCGGUGUAGCGGUGAAAUGUGUAGAGAUCGGGAGGAACACCGGUGGCGAAGGCGGGUCUCUGGGCAUUUCCUGACGCUGAGGCGCGAAAGCGUGGGGAGCAAACGGG